ACACCUGUUCCCAUUCCGAACACAGUAGUUAAGCUCGUUUACGGUGACAAUACUUGGCUGGCGACGGCCUGGGAAGAUAACUCAUCGCUUACA
rnacentral:rRNA from 1 species